rnacentral:rRNA from 1 species
CACGUAGGGCGCAAGCGUUGUCCGGAAUUACUGGGCGUAAAGCGCGCGCAGGCGGCUCUUCAAGUCAGGGGUGAAAGCCCAGAGCUCAACUCUGGAAUUGCCUUUGAGACUGUAGAGCUUGAGUACGGGAGAGGUGAGUGGAAUUCCCAGUGUAGAGGUGAAAUUCGUAGAUAUUGGGAAGAACACCGGUGGCGAAGGCGGCUCACUGGCCCGUUUCUGACGCUCAGGCGCGACAGCGUGGGGAUCAAACAGG